GGGUCCUGCCAGUGACGGACGGUGGCGGCCGGUCCUGCUUGUGACGGCGGUGGCGGCAGAUCCUGCCUGUGACUGCUUCGGUGGCUGCUCCAGACACCUGCGGCGGCGCCGGCGGCGACCCCACGGCGGCCGCGAUGUGGCCCCUGGUGGUGCUGCUGCUGCUGGGCUCGGCUUGCUGCGGUUCGGCUCAGCUAAUAUUUAACAUAACCAGAUCUGUAGAAUACACUGCUUGCAAUGAAACUGUUAUCAUCCCAUGCUAUGUUAAUAAUGUGGAGGCCACAAACAUUAAUGAAAUGUAUGUAAAGUGGAAAUUUAGAGGAAAAGACAUUUUCACCUUUGAUGGCGCUGUAGAAAAGAUCACUCGCGAUGAUAAAUUUAAGAGUACAAAAAUCAUACCACAAAAAUUACUAAAUGGCAUUGCCUCUUUGGAGAUGAACAAGGAAGAGGCUGUUGUAGGAAACUACACUUGUGAAGUAACAGAAUUAAGCAGAGAAGGCGAAACCAUCAUAGAACUAAAAUACCGUAUUGUUUCAUGGUUUUCUCCAAAUGAAAAUAUCCUCAUUGUCAUUUUCCCAAUUUUGGCUGUACUACUUUCUUGGGGACAGUUUGGUAUUGUGAAUGCUGCGGAGCACAUCUGCAGUCACAUUUUCAUCUCACAAGAACUCUGUGGGGCGCUUAAAUAUAAAUCCAGUCUCAUGAAGGAGAAAACCAUUCUUUUAUUUGUUGGUGGACUAGUGCUCACUAUAGCUGUCAUUGUUGGAGCCAUUCUUUUUGUCCCAGGUGAAUAUUCAACAAAGAAUUCUUGUGGACUUGGUUUAAUUGUGGUUCCUACAGUGAUUUUAAUAUUACUUCAGUACUGUGUGUUUAUGAUAGGUGUUUGGAUGUCUUCCUUCACCAUCGCCAUAUUGAUCCUUCAGGUACUGGGCUAUGUGCUCUCUGUGGUUGGACUAAGCCUCUGUGUCUCAGAGUGCACCCCAGUGAACGGCCCUCUUCUGAUUUCAGGUUUGGGUAUUAUAGCUCUAGCAGAAUUACUUGGAUUAGUUUAUAUGAAACUUGUUGCUUCCAAUCAGAAGACUAUACAACCUCCUAGGAACUGGAAAGUUUCUGUGUAAGAAUAAUGGUUAUUAUCUCUGCUGAAGGAAGCUGAUUCCAGUAUAUUGCCUCACCUAUUGGCUCCGUUUGAUAGUAACUGAAGUGAAGUGAUGGACUCUGAUUUGGAAAGUAGUAAGACAUGAAAGGAAUACAAUUGUGUUUAAGCACCAUGGCCUUGAUUCACUGUUCAGGAGAAGAAAACAAGAAAAAUUACUGGUUCUCAUCUGUGGGAGAAAGUAAAUCUUUGACCCUUAAAUGAUUGUUACAGUUAAGUUUUUAUUCAAAGCAUUUGUAAUUUAGUUAAUAAAAGAAUUAUUAUCUGUGUUGUGUGCCCAA